rnacentral:rRNA from 1 species
CAGGUAGUUGGUGGGGUAAAGGCCUACCAAGCCUACGAUCCGUAGCUGGUCUGAGAGGAUGAUCAGCCACACUGGGACUGAGAUACGGCCCAGACUCCUACGGGAGGCAGCAGUGGGGAAUAUUGGACAAUGGGCGCAAGCCUGAUCCAGCAAUGCCGCGUGAGUGAAGAAGGCCUUAGGGUUGUAAAGCUCUUUCGGCGGGGACGAUGAUGACGGUACCCGCAGAAGAAGCCCCGGCUAACUCCGUGCCAGCAGCCGUGGUAAUACGGAGGGGGCUAGCGUUGUUCGGAAUUAUUGGGCGUAAAGAGCUCGUAGGCGGUGUGUCGCGUCGGUCGUGAAAACUUGGGGCUUAACCCUGAGCUUGCGGUCGAUACGGGCAUCACUGGAGUUCGGCAGGGGAGACUGGAAUUCCUGGUGUAGCGGUGAAAUGCGCAGAUAUCAGGAGGAACACCGGUGGCGAAGGCGGGUCUCUGGGCCGAUACUGACGCUGAGGAGCGAAAGCGUGGGGAGCGAACAGGAUUAGAUACCCUGGUAGUCCACGCCGUAACGGUGGGCGCUAGGUGUGGGGGCCAUUCCACGGUCUCUGUGCCGCAGCUAACGCAUUAAGCGCCCCGCCUGGGGAGUAC